rfam:Babesia microti strain RI chromosome II, complete genome.
GCGGGCAUGGUCUAGUGGUGAUGACGUCUGCCUUACACGCAGAAGGUCCCGAGUUCGAUCCUCGGUGCUCGUA